rnacentral:rRNA from 1 species
UACGUAGGGUGCAAGCGUUAAUCGGAAUUACUGGGCGUAAAGCGUGCGCAGGCGGUUGUGCAAGACAGAUGUGAAAUCCCCGGGCUCAACCUGGGAAUUGCAUUUGUGACUGCACGGCUAGAGUGUGUCAGAGGGGGGUAGAAUUCCACGUGUGAGCAGUGAAAUGCGUAGAGAUGAUGGAGGAAUACCGAUGGCGAAGGCAGCCCCCUGGGAUAACACUGACGCCUCAUGCACGAAAGCGUGGGGAGCAAACAGG